rnacentral:rRNA from 1 species
AGGAUGAACGCUGGCGGUCUGCUUAACACAUGCAAGUCGAACGGGCGUAGCAAUACGUUAGUGGCGGACGGGUGAGUAACGCGUGAGAAUCUACCUUCAGGACGGAGACAACAGUUGGAAACGACUGCUAACCCCCGAUGUACUGAAAAGGCAAAUAUUUAUAGCCUGAAGAAGAGCUCGCGUCCGAUUAGCUAGUUGGAGAGGUAAAAGCUCACCAAGGCGACGAUCGGUAGCUGGUCUGAGAGGACGAUCAGCCACACUGGGACUGAGACACGGCCCAGACUCCUACGGGAGGCAGCAGUGGGGAAUUUUCCGCAAUGGGCGAAAGCCUGACGGAGCAAGACCGCGUGGGGGAAGAAGGCUCUUGGGUUGUAAACCCCUUUUCUCUGGGAAGAACGCAAUGACGGUACCAGAGGAAUCAGCAUCGGCUAACUCCGUGCCAGCAGCCGC